GGGGGUGGAUUGGGCCUGGUGGCUUGCCCGGACUUCAAAUCCGGUGGCGGGCGAGGUCGUCCGCGGUGGGUUCGAUUCCCACACACUCCCGCCA
rnacentral:tRNA from 1 species